GACGAACGCUGGCGGCGUGCUUAACACAUGCAAGUCGAACGGAAAGGCCCUGCUUUUGUGGGGUGCUCGAGUGGCGAACGGGUGAGUAACACGUGAGUAACCUGCCCUUGACUUUGGGAUAACUUCAGGAAACUGGGGCUAAUACCGGAUAGGAGCUCCUGCUGCAUGGUGGGGGUUGGAAAGUUUCGGCGGUUGGGGAUGGACUCGCGGCUUAUCAGCUUGUUGGUGGGGUAGUGGCUUACCAAGGCUUUGACGGGUAGCCGGCCUGAGAGGGUGACCGGCCACCUUGGGACUGAGAUACGGACCAGACGCCUACGGGAGGCAGCAGUGGGGAAUAUUGCACAAUGGGCGGAAGCCUGAUGCAGCAACGCCGCGUGCGGGAUGACGGCCUUCGGGUUGUAAACCGAUUUCGCCUGUGACGAAGCGUGAGUGACGGUAAUGGGUAAAGAAGCACCGGCUAACUACGUG
rnacentral:rRNA from 1 species